rnacentral:rRNA from 1 species
AGUGAACGCUGGCGGUAGGCCUAACACAUGCAAGUCGAACGGCAGCACAGUAAGAGCUUGCUCUUACGGGUGGCGAGUGGCGGACGGGUGAGGAAUACAUCGGAAUCUACUUUUUCGUGGGGGAUAACGUAGGGAAACUUACGCUAAUACCGCAUACGACCUACGGGUGAAAGCAGGGGAUCUUCGGACCUUGCGCGAUUGAAUGAGCCGAUGUCGGAUUAGCUAGUUGGCGGGGUAAAGGCCCACCAAGGCGACGAUCCGUAGCUGGUCUGAGAGGAUGAUCGGCCACACUGGAACUGAGACACGGUCCAGACUCCUAAGGGAGGCAGCAGAGGGGAAUAUUGGACAAUGGGCGCAAGCCUGAUCCAGCCAUACCGCGUGGGUGAAGAAGGCCUUCGGGUUGUAAAGACCUUUUGUUGGGAAAGAAAAGCAGCAGGUUAAUACCCCGCUGUUCUGACGGUACCCAAAGAAUAAGCACCGGCUAACUUCGUG